rnacentral:tRNA from 1 species
GGAGGUGUUUGCCGGCUGGUGCCGGCCGCGGUCUUCAACACCGUAGGGCGGGCGUGACGCGCGCGCCGGCGGGUUCGAUUCCCGUCCACCUCCGCCA